rnacentral:rRNA from 1 species
UACGGGAGGCAGCAGUGGGGAAUAUUGCACAAUGGGCGAAAGCCUGAUGCAGCUAUGCCGCGUGUAUGAAGAAGGCCUUAGGGUUGUAAAGUACUUUCAUCGGGGAGGAAAAAACAAAACUAAUAAUUUUAUUUCUUGACGUUACCCGAAAAAGAAGCACCGGCUAACUCCGUGCCAGCAGCCGCGGUAAUACGGAGGGUACUAGCGUUAAUCAGAAUUACUGGGCGUAAAGAGCACGUAGGUGGUUUUUUUAAGUCAGAUGUGAAAUCCCUGGGCUUAACCUAGGAACUGCAUUUUGAAACUGAAAUACUAGAGUAUCGUAGAGGGAGGUAGAAUUCUAGGUGUAGCGGUGAAAUGCGUAGAUAUCUGGAGGAAUACCUGUGGCGAAAGCGGCCUCCUAAACGAAUACUGACACUGAGGGUGCGAAAGCGUGGGGAGCAAACAGGGAUUAGAUACC